rnacentral:rRNA from 1 species
AAGGAGCCUUCGGCUCGUUGGAGUCUAUUGUGAACCUCUACUGGUGGUGCUGGUGUCCGGUUCCUGCCGUGGUGGCAAGGGGGAUGCUGGUGCCCGUCGGCCCGGUGGCGCGCCCCGUGUUGCGGGUGGGGACCCCGGGUGGGUGUGAUGGUUGCUGGUGCACUGUUGGGUGUCUGAGGCAGCACCGUGGGGUGUGUGUCUUGGGUGUGGUGUUUGAGAAUUGCAGAGUGGGUGCGAGCAUCUUUGU